AUGAGCAGAGGUGGUAAAUUCAAAAGAAAUGAUAAGAAACACCUUGCACAAUUUUUUAAGGUAGAAGUGAGGAGUAUACAAAGAGUUUGGCAGAAGGCGAUGGAGCAAAUUUCAGAAGGUUUAGAGGUGAAUGUUUCCGAUCAGAGAAAAGGAAACUCUGGAAGAAAGCCAAAGAACAUCAAUUUAGAGCAAAUCCCUACUAUUCCACUAAACAAGAGGUCCACUAUCAGAUCUUUAGCUUGGCAACUGGGAUGUAGCCCUACCACACUGCAUAGAAACUUCAAGCUGAAUUUGAUAAAGAGGCACACAAACUAUGUGAAGCCAGCUCUGAAGGAAAAGAAUAAGAAGGAUAGGAUGGAAUUUUGCAUGUCAAUGCUUGAUGAGACAACGAUAGAAACUUCAAGGCCUAAAUGGAAGACAAUGCAUAAUGUUGUGCUCAUUGAUGAGAAAUGGUUCAAUAUGACCAAGAAAAAUAAGACCUACUAUCUGUUGGAUGGGGAGGAGGAGCCUACGAGGCCUAUACAUGGCAACUGCAUUGGCAAGGUGAUGUUCUUGACGGCCGUUGCUAGGCCAAGGUGGGAUCGUGAAGGAAACGUGACCUUCUCUGGGAAAAUCGGUAUCUGGCCAUUCGUGAAAGAAGUUUCUGCUCAGAGGAGAAGUGAUAACAGGCCCAGAGGUACAAUAGAGACAAAGUCAAUAAAGGUGGACAGAAAAGUGAUGAGGGAGUUCCUAAUAGAGAAGGUCUUGCCAGCGAUACAAGCAGUUUGGCCUGAAAGUGAUGCUGGACAGACCAUCUACAUUCAACAUGAUAAU
rnacentral:rRNA from 1 species